rnacentral:rRNA from 1 species
CCUACGGGAGGCAGCAGUGGGGAAUUUUGGACAAUGGGGGCAACCCUGAUCCAGCAAUGCCGCGUGAGUGAAGAAGGCCUUCGGGUUGUAAAGCUCUUUUGUCAGGGAAGAAACAGCAGCUCUAACACAGACUGCGAAUGACGGUACCUGAAGAAUAAGCACCGGCUAACUACGUGCCAGCAGCCGCGGUAAUACGUAGGGUGCGAGCGUUAAUCGGAAUUACUGGGCGUAAAGCGUGCGCAGGCGGUUAUACAAGACAGGCGUGAAAUCCCCGGGCUUAACCUGGGAAUGGCGUCUGUGACUGUAUAGCUAGAGUGUGUCAGAGGGGGGUGGAAUUCCACGUGUAGCAGUGAAAUGCGUAGAUAUGUGGAGGAACACCAAUGGCGAAGGCAGCCCCCUGGGAUAACACUGACGCUCAUGCACGAAAGCGUGGGGAGCAAACAGGAUUAGAUACCCUGGUAGUCCACGCCCUAAACGAUGCUGACUAGUUGUUGGGAAUUUACAUUCUCAGUAACGUAGCUAACGCGUGAAGUCAGCCGCCUGGGGAGUACGGUCGCAAGAUUAAAACUCAAAAUGAAAUUGACGG